rnacentral:rRNA from 1 species
AAUCAACGCUGGCGGCGUGCCUCAGACAUGCAAGUCGAACGAUUAAACUUCCCUUCGGGGAAGAUAUAAAGUGGCGCACGGGUGAGUAACACGUAGGUAAUGUACCUUUGGGUGGGGAAUAACUUAGGGAAACUUAAGCUAAUACCGCAUAAUGCAGCGGCUCCUUCGGGAGACAGUUGUUAAAGAUUUAUCGCCUAAAGAGCAGCCUGCGGCAGAUUAGCUAGUUGGUAAGGUAACGGCUUACCAAGGCUACGAUCUGUAUCCGACCUGAGAGGGUGGUCGGACACACUGAAACUGAAUAACGGGUCAGACUCCUACGGGAGGCAGCAGUCGGGAAUUUUGGGCAAUGGGCGAAAGCCUGACCCAGCAACGCCGCGUGAAGGAUGAAGUCUUUCGGGAUGUAAACUUCGUAAGAAUAGGAAGAAUAAAUGACGGUACUAUUUGUAAGGUCCGGCUAACUACGUG